rnacentral:lncRNA from 1 species
CUUUCACCAUUCACCUUGUGGUCUUCUCUCACGUGUUGAAUAUCUUCUUUCAUACAAAGAAGAUGAGCCUUCUUGCACCUCUUGCUGCCUUGUAUGACUCAUGGAGUGCUUUCUCUUACUCAUUUUUUGGUAUUCUUCAUCUUCAUUCUCUUCAUUGUCCUUGUUGUAUCUUGCUGGAAUUGAAGUCUUCAUAGUAUUGGGCUCUUCUAUCAUGGCAACUUCCUCUCCUUCUUCACUUUGAGAAUGCACUUCUUCAUCUUCUUGUUUGUUUGUUGGAAUUGAAGAUGU